UACGAAGGGGGCUAGCGUUGCUCGGAAUCACUGGGCGUAAAGGGUGCGUAGGCGGGUCUUUUAAGUCAGGGGUGAAAUCCUGGAGCUCAACUCCAGAACUGCCUUUGAUACUGAAGAUCUUGAGUUCGGGAGAGGUGAGUGGAACUGCGAGUGUAGAGGUGAAAUUUGUAGAUAUUCGCAAGAACACCAGUGGCGAAGGCGGCUCACUGGCCCGAUACUGACGCUGAGGCACGAAAGCGUGGGGAGCAAACAGGG
rnacentral:rRNA from 1 species